AUUUUAAUUUUUAAUUUAAACUGGGAGGAUGGUCAGACCCCACAUCUGCCCAAGCCCCCAGCCCAACCAGUGGUAGAGCGAAACCCCGGCAGCCAAGAGGAAUAAAAUUCCCAUCUUUCUCCACUUUUCUGCACCGUCACAUGGGAAAGGAUGGGGAGAGGGACGGGGGCUGUGGCUUGGCACAGAGCUAGCCCUGUGCUGACUUGGCCGCUGCUUUGCCGAGGCCGGAGCUGGUGAUUCACGCGAGUUGUUCUGACUCCUGUGACGACACCCGCAGAGGUUGAACAGGACUCGGCGCCCAGAAAGCAGAAACGAAACAGCUCUCCGGGGCGGCGGGGUGGGGUCGGGGCUGCCGCCGUCGCCUUGGCUCCCCUGCACCUCUCCUGGCACCGGGUCAGCCUCUGCUGCCCCACACAGCUUCCGCUUCUGGGGCUGGGAGAGGUAUCUGCUGCCUGUCCUGGGCCUUUCGCAUCCUGCCUGCUUGCUCAGAAUUACAAACUGAGCCUCCGCAAACCUGGAGCACCUUUUGCUACCUUCCAAAAGGCAGCGCACCUCCUUUCGGAGGGGCCCCCGCUCUUGGGCAACGCGUUUGCUCUGGGAGAGCCUGGAAACAGCUCCUGGGGCAAAGCGAAGGCUGCGAGCGAGAGCUGAUGGUGAGCAAAGGGAAUUUCCUUCUGGUUACGGAGCAUCACCUCCUGGCAGCCUCCUGCAGCCAAAAAAAGCAGGCAGCAGCCCCUCUACGUGCUGCCAGGACGGAGCUGUGCUGAGUUCCUGAGGCUGCUUCCUCCCAGAACAUGCCUCAUCCUCACCCUCCUCAUCCUCACCCUCCCCAUCCUCAUCCUCCUCGCCCCCAGCAGGCUGCUGCUGCCCCGAAUCUCCUUGCACAUGGACUCAGCCCUUCCCACCGUGGGAAGCCUCCUUCCUACGCUGCUGGGCUCAGGGUGGGUUUGGAUCACGGUCGGUUGCCUUUCCCCCCCCCCCCUCUGUGGCUGACUCCUCCACGUUACGAGCCGUACGUGUCGUGUGGGUGGAAGGCAGAAUUAAUUAGUCAUCGGGACAGGGCAGCCCCGGUCGGCAAAAUGUGCUUCUCUCUGCAAAACCCGCUCCCACCUUCUCCCAGGGAACCCGUCAGCACCGACACUUCUUUCCCAAGCUCCCUGCCGAGGUUUAAUUGGGAGCAUCAAAAAAAGUUUGCUGGCCCCGCUGGCACGGCAGGCAGGCAGGCAGCACCCUCCAGCGACGCGAGAAAUGCUGCGGGUGGCCAGGCCAGCGAUCCCCGCCCAAAACAACAUCUCAGGAGCAAAAUCCAGCUCGUGUCACGGGGAAAUAGGUUCGGCAGGGAAAGGAUGGCUCCCCCCCCCCCGCCUUGCUCCGUCCUCCGGCUGGGAACGCAUGCACGGCGCUCGGUUUGGGUCAGGGGUGGUGUCAGGAUAAAAAUGACCCGUGCUCUGCCGAAAAACGCCGGGGAAAAUAAUACUCAGUGAUGGUUUGGGGAGCCCGGCUGUAAGGGGGGACAGGGGCUUGGCCACUGAUGCUGGCUGAGGGGACUGCACAGCUCACUCUUUGGUGGAUUCUGCUGACAUUUCAGAUGCUUUCAGGAAGAAAAGGAGCAUUAAAUUGGCAGAGAGAAGGAAUUUUCCUCGGUAGCCACCCGGCACGAGCUGCAGAGCGAGCGUCUGGACUCGGGGGGGGUGGCUUUUUUGGCCAUUAAUAAAAACAGGAAGGAAACGCAGAGAUAAAUCGCUAGAUCUGAACGAUGCAGAUUUCUGCGGCCGGAGGCCUGGUUUGGCGAGGGCAGGAAACCACAUCUGCCACCCUGUGCCCCUGCGGUGUGUGGCUGGGGGUGUCCGGCAGCGAGGUGAUGCACCGACGGGUGGAAAACGCCUUGUUUGGGCUGAAAAACCCAGCUUUGAGGAUUUAAUCGGUGUUCUGGAGGCGUGCUGCACCCCCUGCAGAAGAUGGUUAACGCAGGCUCUGCCUGUGUUCCUCCGGAGCUGCGGCUGGGUGGUGGAUUGCUGCCAUCGUGCUCCGGGAAGGAGCAGGGCAGCGCCGUGGAAAAAGCCGCUAAAGGCAAGACCUGAACGUUUCUGCUCGAUUUUCCGUCGUGGGAAGCCGGUGGUGAAACGCCUGAGGCUCCCCUCCCGGCUGCCACGGGGAGCAGCCACCACAUCUGCACCGUGGCAGCGUUUGCAAAACCACGGGUGUUUCGAGCAAAGACCCAGAGGAAAAGCACGGGCAGCCCUGGGUGGGGGGGGCGGGGAGGACCGAAAAAGGAAGGUUUGGGGCUGGUGGGGAGCUGCUGGGGGCUGUUUGGAGCCGGGUCUCCAUCGGGACCGCUCCUCCAGCCCCUCAUGGCCCCCAGCAGCUCUGCCAAACCAGCCUGUCCUCUCCUCGCCCCACUUUUCCACCCGCCCCCCAGCUCACAGAGCAGAGGGCACCCCCGGGUGGUGCAGCCCGGCCGGCCCCGUGGGAAGGGUGGGACGGCUGCUUGCGCAACGCCCUAAAAUCCUAAACCGCAUCCUGCGAGCAGUGCCCACGGCUGGCAGCUCCCUCCUGCUCGGCCGCACGCAGCCCGUGGGCCGGGAGGAGCUGGGGAGGACCUGGGGCUGCCAUCGAGCGGGACCACGGCCACCUCGGCGCAGGUAGGAGACCGGGUCUGCCCUGCAAACGUACCUCCAGCAGUACCAGCUCUCUCCUUUUGCCAUUUCCAAACCUCACUUCCUUUCAGUUUUGUUUUGUUUUUGUUUGUUUGUUUGUUUUUCCUUUAAGACUCGCAUAAAACUGUUUCUCGUGCUCGCCAAGCCUCCUGGUUGCCAAAUCGGUUUGCACGAAAAUUGUCACCGUGCCACGGGCACGCAGUUUGGUCACAGAAAAAGAGCAAAACUGAGGCAUGCAAGCCUGACAGUAUUGCAUCCUAAAUACUUACUUCUGUCGGUAAAUCACAGAAUCACAGGAUCUUUUUAGGUUGGAAAAGACCCUGAAGACCAGCAAGUCCAGCGCUUCCGAUCCCACCACUGCACCGUGCCCCUAAGCCCCGUUCGCACACCUCAGUACCUCCAGAAACACACCGGGAAUGUUUUACCCGAGCCUUAGGGCUGGUGGUGCCUCUGCUCGGAGCAGCGCUUACCUAACAAACAGGACACAGCUUCCACAACAACAACUUCCAGCUAAGACGAACGACGCCGGUGAUUUUUGGCCUCAGCACCAGCUGUAGAAACGCAGGGCACCCCGAAUCGGAGGGGGCCCACAAGGAUCAUCGAGCCCAGCCGCUGGCUGCACACAGGACCACCCCAAAAUCAGACCCUGUGUCUGAGAGCGUUGUCCAAACGCUUCUUAACCCCCGUGGGUCCCUUCCAACUCGGUUACUCCAUGAUUUCUGAGCUCCGGCAGCUCGGUGCCGUGCCCACCGCCCUGGGCAGCCUGUCCCAGUGCCCGACCCCCCCCGGGUGCAGAUCCUUCCCCUAACCCCCAGCCUGACCCUCCCCGUCCCGGCUCCGUGGCGAUGCCGCCGUGACUUCUGAGUAAGGGAGAAGAAAACAAAUCUCAGCUCUCCCCGGAGGAAAAUCCAGGAAACCCGAGCGGUUCUUGAGGCAGCGCAACGGGGCGGCUGCAGCGGCCGGGGAACCAUUUGGGGCCGGCUCCCGUUGGGGCCCGGAGCCUCCUGGAAAGUUUCCUGGCGGCCCCGAUGGAAAAAAGUUCAUUGCAGGGCAGUCCCGCGGAUCCCGCCUGGGCUGACGCCGCCUCCGCAAAGCCUGCGUCUCGCGGUGAGCCGAGCAAGUCGUGUUUGGGAGCAGCUGCAGCCCGGGAGGUGUUCGGGCAGCGGCGACCCAAAUGCUGCUGUGGUUUAGCAGGGAGGCCGGGAGAUGUUUCCCUGUUGCAAAGUCUGCUGGGGACUAAAGCGAAGAUUUUCAGAAAGCUAAAGGCCUGGCUUUGCUGUGGAGAUCUCACAUCCUGUGCCUCUGAGCCCCAGGAAAAAAAUAUAUCCAUGAGGUGGAGGCCAGUGGGACCCAGAGAAGAGAGGUCCUGGGAUGGAUGGUGGGAGCUGUGGGUUGGUGGCCCCGUCCCUACCACAUCCCUGGGGACAGCAGGGCUCAAGCAGCUGCUGGGCAUCCCUUGCAUCAGCUGAGACGGUCUGGAAAGGUAGGUGGAAAAGAAGAGCUGUCAAGGUGGGUGCUUUCCAGCAGGGGAGGCCGGUUCCCUUGUUGGAGAGCUGUCCCACAGCAGGAUGGAGCCCAGGACACGCUGGAGGCUGCCCCCGUGUAAUUAGCGGAGCUGGGCUUUGGCUCAGGGCUGACAUUUGACUCAUCAAAAAACCUGCUGAGAACACGUAUUUAAAUAAAUAAAUAUAAAAGCCUAUUUUUAAGAGUGUCCUUUCAACAC